rfam:Rattus norvegicus chromosome 4, whole genome shotgun sequence.
GGGGGUAUAGCUAAGUGGUUCAGCAUUUGACUGCAGAUCAAGAAGUCCCUGGUUCAAUUCUGGGUACCUCCU